rnacentral:rRNA from 1 species
UGAGGAACAUGACCUUCGGCGGGGGAUAGCCGGCCCAACGGCCGGGUAAUACCGCGUACGACCACUUGGGGACAUCCUCGAGUGGUGAAAGCAGCAAUGCGCCGAUGAAGUGCCUCGCGGCCUAUCAGCUAGUUGGUGAGGUAACGGCUCACCAAGGCAACGACGGGUAGCUGGUCUGAGAGGAUGGCCAGCCACAUUGGGACUGAGACACGGCCCAGACUCCGUAGG